rnacentral:pre_miRNA from 1 species
UAUAAGGGAUUUUUGAAUUUUUGCUUGUAACGUUUGACCACUCGUCUUAUUCAAAAAAUUUUGAAAUUAUUAAUUAUUUUAUUUAUGACUUACUUUAUUAUCUAUAAUACUUUAAGCAUAAUUUUUCAUUUUUUAUAUUCGCAAAAAAAAUUUGAAUAAGACGAGUGGUCAAACGUUAUAAGUAAAAACUCAAAAUCCCUUAUA